rnacentral:rRNA from 1 species
UGCCGGUGAUAAACCGGAGGGAAGGCGGGGAUGACGUCAAGUCCUCAUGGCCCUUACAUCCCGGGCGUACACACGUGCUACAAUGGCAGGUACAGAGGGCGUGCGAAGCCGCGAGGUGGAGCGAAUCCCAGAAAACCUGUCUCAGUCCGGAUUGAAGUCUGCAACUCGACUUCAUGAAGGCGGAAUCGCUAGUAACCGCGAAUCAGCAGGUCGCGGUGAAUACGUUCCCGGGCCUU